rnacentral:rRNA from 1 species
UGGCGGACGGGUGAGUAAUGUCUAGGGAAACCGCCCGAUGGGAGGGGAUAACUACUGGAAACGGUAGCUAAUACCGCAUAACGUCGCAAGACCAAAGAGGGGGACCUUCGGGCCUCUUGCCAUCGGAUGUGCCCAGAUGGGAUUAGCUAGUAGGUGGGGUAAAGGCUCACCUAGGCGACGAUCCCUAGCUGGUCUGAGAGGAUGACCAGCCACACUGGAACUGAGACACGGUCCAG